rnacentral:lncRNA from 1 species
UGAAUGGAUCAUAAUGGGGAGGCAGGACUCGGUGGCGCUCAUACAUGUUCUGUGGCUGUCGAUCACAUGGCCAGUAAGUGGUAGAGUUAGAUAGAACUUGAACCCAGGCCCCCUUGCUCUGAAGUAGGUGAGCCUGAACACCUGGCUGCAGAGCCCACCUCUAAGCCCACUGAAGUCUUUACUUUCUGGCUUUGCACCAGACGCCUCUGAGGACAGAACCUGCUAAUCACAAACCAAUGAUGGUCCCAUCAGCCACCUUCUCUGAGCACCUUCUCCAGGCUGGGUUCUGGGAUGGGCACAGGAGAUAGAGAUUUGGACCACAGUUCUGGCCCUAGAGGUGCCUGUAAGAUCUGGAGGAAUAGGUGUGACCAGAGCCACCAACGGUGGUCACCAAGGGGAGGUGACAGCCAUUUAACAGAUGCCUCUACCCUGCGAGAUGAACAAAGGGACAGCUCUAACUGCCUGGUACCCUGGCCUGAUGUUCAUGCCCCAACCCCAUCCCCAGGCCUGCCACACCUGUAGGCCAGGGUCAGUGCUGGAUCACCCACCCUGCUUCACAGCCACCUCCUGGCCCUCUGAGGAGGGGGGGCAUUUCUGCCACCCCCACAUCUGGAUUGAGUGGCCCCAUCCGGAGGGGGCAGCUACAGGUCCCUGGCAAUACAUGACCUUUUGCUUUCUGAAAACAAAACCCAUGAGCCCAUCCUCUAGGGACAAGGGUGACCUGGUGGCAGGCUCUGCAGCCCCCCGCAGGGCCUCUGCCUUGUCCUGGGAUGUCUUGGGCCCUUAGCUUCUGUCUUCUCUUAACAUGUGAGUUAGAUCAUCUGGAAUAAGAUGUUUAACCCCUGGUCAAUAACUCACACCCAAGUGGCACGGCCAUCAAUAGUCACGAGAUUUAUCACAUCAAUUCCUGGGCUUGUGAAAGAAUGAUCGACUCACAGGGAGCCCCAAGUGGCCAGGGCCCAAGGCCAGCUCCACCAGCCUGGAGGAGGGACACACUUCUCUGAUUGUGGCCCUAUCCUGGGGCUGGGAGAGGCGUCGGGGUUGGCUGCAGCCGUUCCCAGCAUCCUAG